ensembl:lncRNA
AGGCUGGGAUGUGCAGGGAGAGGAAGGGUGAGUACGUCUAGGGGCAGAUAGGCUGGGGUGGGCAGGGAGAGGAAGAGUGAGUAAGUCUAGAGGGGCAGAGAGGCUGGGGUGUGCAGGGAGAGGAAGAGUGAGUAAGUCUAGAGGGGCAGAGAGGCUGGGGUGUGCAGGGAGAGGAAGAGUGAGUAAGUCGAGAGGGGCAGAUAGAGGAAGUGAGUAAGUCUAGGGGCAGGGAGAGGAAGAGUGUGUAAGUCGAGAGGGGCAGAUAGAGGAAGUGAGUAAGUCGAGAGGGGCAGAUAGGCUGGGGUGGGCAGAUAGAGGAAGAGUGAGUAAGUCUAGAGGGGCAGAUAGGCUGGGGUGUGCAGAGAGAGGAAGAGUGAGUAAGUCGAGAGGGGCAGAGUGCGGGCAGGAUUCCUUAAUGGUGAAAUGUGAAUAAUCAUCUCAUAAUCAAAGCUAGUUCAUCAGAAAACAGAGGCCUCCUGGGACUGCCUGAAAUAAUGAGAACAAAAGGAGGCAGUGGUUUUAUCCCAG